rnacentral:lncRNA from 12 species
AUGGAGAGCAAGGAAGACAGGGGGCCACAGGACAGCCGCUCCGAGAACCCGAGAACCCGAGAACCCGAGCACCCGGCGGGUGUUCGUGGGGGUGCGCCCCCUGGAGGCGGCGGCAGCCCUCGCCCGGCGGCGCCCAGGAGCCUGAGCUGCGGGUCGGUGCCUCCACCCGCCAAGGAGCGCAUCUUGCUCCCGUUUAUCCACCACGACUACGACGCCCUGCGGCGCGCCAGGCUCCAGCUGCGCGCCGCGGCAGCACAGGUGCUAAGGGAGCGUCCAGACCCCAAAGCGGACGCAGGGACACGCCCGCCCGGGUUCCGCCCUAACCCGCAGCUCCCCGCGCCGCUCCUCCAGGAGCAUCUCCCCGGGGGCGCGGCCAGGGGGCGGGGCCUGUCCCGGGGGCGGGGCCUGUCGCCGGGGGCGGGGCCUGUCAUCAGGGGCGGGGGCUGUCGCCGGGGGCGGGGCCUGUCGUCGGGGGCGGGGCCUGUCGCCGGGGGCGGGGGCUGUCGCCGGGGGCGGGGCCUGUCGCCGGGGGCGGGGCCUGUCGCCGGGGGCGGGGCCUGUCGUCGGGGGCGGGGCCUGUCGCCGGGGGCGGGGCCUGUCCGCCCGGGAAGCCACCGCCUGCGGAGCCCCGCGCGCUGCCCCGGGGUUUCCGUUAAGCUGCUGCUGGGUCACCCGCGGCUCCCGCCGGGCAGCUCCGGAACUCCCUGCCGGCAGCGCCCCUUCGUGGCUCGGAGAGCGCAGCGUCGACCCUGGAGUCUCCGGGAAGGGGCCCCUGCUCAGGCCCGCGAGUCCCGCUGCAGGUGUCAGCCCGUGGUCGCCCAGCCUGGGGUCACAGCAGCUUGACCUUGGGGUGCCCGGGAUACCCAGUGGUUUAAUCAGCAAAGGGCCUUUGAAGAAUAUACAGAAUGUGAAAGUGCCACACUUCUGAAGGCAACAAUGUUUGGUUUCUUGCCCAAGGUGGAGGCAG